rnacentral:rRNA from 1 species
GGGCUAAUACCGGAUAACACAUGAAACCGCAUGGUUUCAUGAUGAAAGACGGUUUUGCUGUCACUUAUAGAUGGACCCGCGGCGUAUUAGCUAGUUGGUAAGGUAACGGCUUACCAAGGCAACGAUACGUAGCCGACCUGAGAGGGUGAUCGGCCACACUGGAACUGAGACACGGUCCAG